rnacentral:rRNA from 1 species
UACGGAGGGGGCUAGCGUUGUUCGGAAUUACUGGGCGUAAAGCGCACGUAGGCGGACUGUUAAGUCGGGGGUGAAAUCCUGGGGCUCAACUCCAGAACUGCCUUUGAUACUGAGGAUCUUGAGUUCGGGAGAGGUGAGUGGAACUGCGAGUGUAGAGGUGAAAUUCGUAGAUAUUCGCAAGAACACCAGUGGCGAAGGCGGCUCACUGGCCCGAUACUGACGCUGAGGUGCGAAAGCGUGGGGAGCAAACAGG